rnacentral:tRNA from 1 species
GCCCGACCCCGGCUUGCGGCCGGACACGGCGCCGCCGGGGUCGGCGCUGGCCGCGAUCGUCGCGCGGGGACGGCUG